AGUCAGCCACUUAACCAACUGAGCCACCCAGGUGCCCCUAUAGUAGAAGUUUUCUUAAUCAGUUUCAAUCAACUUGCUGAAUUAACUGCUGACCUCAUUCUCUCAAAAAUACACUGACUGAAGCCCGUGGUCCCUGACAGCCUCUCCCAGCACUGGCCACUCUGGGCUGCUUGCUGUCUUCUCUCACCUGUUUCUUUGUACGCUUAUCCAGUGUCAGCUGUGUUUGUUCCCAAAUGUGUUUAUGCCAGUUGUAUUUUUUUAAAUUGUAAUUAUGUGAUUUAACUCACUGUACAUAAGCUGUGGAUCUGUGAAUGCAAAAAAAGAAUUGUAAUUUUAAAGAAAACUCUGUUGAAUGCUUUGAGAAGAUUCAAAAGAGGCCGUUGUCAAAAAUUGCAGUGUUUAUGACAAAUGUAAAGACUAACAAAAAGCAAUUAAAAAAACUAGAAGGAUUCUGCACUCA